UACGUAGGGUGCGAGCGUUGUCCGGAAUUAUUGGCGUAAAGAGCUCGUAGGCGGUCUGUCGCGUCGGAUGUGAAAACUCGGGGCUCAACCCCGGAGCCUGCAUUCGAUACGGGCAGACUAGAGUUCGGUAGGGGAGACGUGGAAUUCCUGGUGUAGCGGUGAAAUGCGCAGAUAUCAGGAGGAACACCGGUGGCGAAGGCGGGUCUCUGGGCCGAUACUGACGCUGAGGAGCGAAAGCGUGGGGAGCGAACAGG
rnacentral:rRNA from 1 species